GGCAGCCUGAGCUGGGGGGGUGGCAGCCCUGCCCAUGGCGGAGGGUUGGAAAUGGGUGGGCUUUAAGGUCCCUUCCAACCCAAGCCAUUCUGUGAUUAAUCAGAAUGCAGCCUCUUCCCACCUUGCUCCAGGUUAUCUUAUUCUUUAACUGGAAAAAUAUUUAUAUACUAUCCCAGGCCACAGGAGCGGGAAGAAGGCUCGUCAGUGCACAUUGCAAAGAUAUUGUAGGGUAAUGUUACUUUGUCUUACUGGCUCACAUUCAGAUUCUGCAUUUAUCAUUUUUACAACUUAUGCCUUAAAUUGUUGUAAGAUAACCAGACUAUAGCAGUCUUAUCACGCUUACAUGCUUGUACUUUUAUGUUAGUUUUAUGGUUGUGAUAUUGAAUCCUCUUAAAGAAAAGGCAAGUUGCUUUGACUGCAGUGAGAAUUAUUUCCAUGCUCAGCCGAGCUUGCAUUUUUUUCUCAGUGCAUCUUUCAUUCUGAACAUCUUAUGCUUACUUUUUGGAUAACUGCAACCUCUGUAGUGCUUUAUCUCAGAAUGCAGUUUUGUACCAUCUCCCUUCAAGAAAAGCUAAGCUACACAGAACAGCCCUUCCAGGUUGCAGUAUGAGCUACCAGAAGAGCUACUGCUGCUCGAGUGUCUCUGUGCCGUGCACCGCUGGAUGGCCAGGCUUGGUGUCAACAAACAAGCCCAUGGGCCCACUGUUUGCAGCUCCAGUGCCAAGGCUUAAUUGGAGAAGGGACACUGUUAAUCAGAACCAGGAAUCAUUGGGCUGACUUGCCAAGUCAGACUAAGAGGAGUUUAUAUGGUCGUUCUGAGGACUUAGCAUAAAGCAUCUGGACAUGCAAGACAUCGGUACGUAAACACGAUAUGCCCUGAUGUUUUAGUUAUUUUGGCCUGCAGCAGCGAAGAACAUUUUAAAGGCCGGAUCCUUUGUAGUGCUGAAUACCCUCAACACCAGUUGUACUCGUCAGAACCCACCGUGCUCGGCGCCUUCCCAUGAGGUGCCUCGGGUAGAGCCCCAUGCUGCCUGCCAUCCCAGCCAGCAGCCGCCACCACCCUGGGGGUGGAAAGUACGAGGGCAACUUGACUCCAUUGAGAACCACAAGACAUUCCUUGUAUGUGAAAUUUCUGCAGAUUCAAGAUUUCUACAUAGCCGUGCUGCUGCUUACUUACAGAAACAUGUUUUCACAGCUUAAAUGCAUUAACCCCUCGUGGGCCUUAGAUUUCUGCGUAGGAUUUGACAUGACAUGUCUUCGAGAGAUCUUCAGGACAGGAAGACAAAACACCACUCCUGGAAAUUAAAAAAUAACUGAAUUUAGAUCAAACACUUCUGGAAAGUCUGGCUUUUGCUCUAAAAGGUUAAUCAGUAUUUGGAUUUUUUUUUGCCGUGGGAGGUUCCUUGUGUAAUUAUUGAAAAGCAAGAUCAAAAACCAGCAUCAUCUUUUGAGUGCCAAUGUCACACGCCUGGACAAAAACAAGCUAGAUCAGCCCUAAUGAUAUUUGCUCCUGGACACACUGCAGAAUCCCUGGCUGUGCUUAGGAUAGGAAGGAAUUUCCUCAUGUGCUCUGUCUUGCACUGCCUUAUGAGGAUGCGACACUGCGUGGAUAUGAGAAGCCGGAAAGGACAGGCAUGGCAUGGAGUUUACUUUGCCAACAUUGGUGUCAAUGUAUACCCAGGAACUGCAAAUACUGGUUGGAAACACGUUGUGCUGUCCAGAGGCAUAAUUACAGAAAGCUUGUAGUUGUCUUUAUCACAAAGUUUUAAUUAGCAGGACACAUUAAAUAACCAGCUGAUACAGAUCUUAAUGAAUCAUUUAUAGGCCUACAUCUAGGAUAAUUAUAUGUAGCUGGUCACAUGAAAUCACUUGCAUACGCCUGGGCUUAUGUGAAAUGGAAUAUGCAUCUUCCUCAUGAAAUAAGGGUGAAAGAGGGAUGGGAUGAAACUGGGGCACCAGCCUACCUUCCCCAAGCUCUUUUUGCAUGAAGUAUUUUCAGCAAAAUAAAUAAGGCUGGCUUCAAGAAGUCCGCCGAGCUCCAGGAUGGGCAUCUCGGGCCAGUCCCCUUUCUGUUGGCAGGUUUGUCUCUUCCAUUGUGAUGGGUACCCUAUAGCACUCAUUUCCCGCCUUCACUGCAUGCUGGCCCAUGGGCAGGGGUCUUGGUCUUAGGUCCUUUCACAGAAUUGUAGGGGUUGGAAGGUUGACCUCAAGAGAUCAUUGAGUCCAAGCCCCCUGCUAAAGCAGGUUCCCUACGUAGGUCACAGAGGUAGGCAUCCAGAUGAGUCUUGAAUAUCUCCAUUGAAGGAGCCUCCACAACCUCUAUGGGCAACCUGUUCCAGUGCUCUGUCACCCUUACGACAGCCUUAGCUUGUAUAAUUGGGAGCUGUUGUUUUUAUCAAGUGAUACUUCAGCUGCUGGUUCUUUGUACUAUGUUACAUGCAAAAAGAAAUAAUGACCUCCUGUAUGGCAUGGAUGUGUUGUCCAAUGAUUUUACAUACAGUGACGUAGUUGGCUUGCUCAACUGGAGCCCCAGAAGGAGCAGAGCCCCUGUUUGACUGCAAGUCAGAAGCAAGGGAUAAACAAACCCUUGCAAGUGUAUAUUUGAAAAGAUUAAGAGCAAAGUAUUACCAACCCAUGCGAUAUUGUAAUCAAAAAUCCUUUAAAAGUGGCGUUGACUAAUUUUCUCAAUUAUCCUCAGAGUCUGCUGUUAACAGGUUUCCCUGGUUUCUC
ensembl:lncRNA